rnacentral:rRNA from 1 species
AGUGAACGCUGGCGGUAGGCCUAACACAUGCAAGUCGAACAGCAGCACAGGAGAGCUUGCUCUCUGGGUGGCGAGUGGCGGACGGGUGAGGAAUACAUCGGAAUCUACUCUGUCGUGGGGGAUAACGUAGGGAAACUUACGCUAAUACCGCAUACGACCUACGGGUGAAAGCAGGGGACCUUCGGGCCUUGCGCGAUUGAAUGAGCCGAUGUCGGAGUAGCUAGUUGGCGGGGUAAAGGCCCACCAAGGCGACAAUCCGUAGCUGGUCUGAGGGGAUGAUCAGCAACACUGGAACUGAGACAAGGUCCAGACUCCUACGGGCGGCAGCAGUGGGGAAUAUUGGACAAUGGGCGCAAGCCUGAUCCAGCCAUACCGCGUGGGUGAAGAAGGCCUUCGGGUUGUAAAGCCCUUUUGUUGGGAAAGAAAUCCAGCUGGCUAAUACCCGGUUGGGAUGACGGUACCCAAAGAAUAAGCACCGGCUAACUUCGUGCCAGCCGCCGCCGUAA